CUCGAUCAGAAAACAAAUCGUUUUGGAAGUAUUUUUUUGAAAGAAAAGCCAAAAAAUCAUUUAAAACUUAGGGAAAGAAUAGAUACACAAUGGAUCUAAAGGAAUCAGAGAAACCUCGAAGGCUUAGGGUUUUAAAAGAACCCAAGUUGUGAGAAAGGCUUGGAAAUGUCACUGAUCUAAGCCGAAAAAGUCAAAACCAGGCUCGAAGCAGGCACCGCUCACCGGAGCAGGCCGGAGAUGGCCAUAGACCUUGAAGCAAACUAAGCCUGAACAAAACUUCUUCAUGGUAAGGCCUUAAAUCUUCCGAAAUCGGGCGUGUAGGAGUCAUAGAAGGUCGAUGUGAGGUUCCGAUGGCCUUGGAAGCCAUGGAUUCCGGUGAAUUUAUGGUGGAAGUGGUGGGAGGAGGGUAGGGUUUGAGAAGAUUCGGGAGAGUUUGAGAUAUAAGGGUUUUAGAGGCGACUGGUAGGUGAAAAAAUGAAAAAGGGUUUGGGGUCGUUUGUAAGGAAGGGAA
rnacentral:lncRNA from 1 species